rnacentral:rRNA from 1 species
GAUGAACGCUAGCGGCAGGCUUAAUACAUGCAAGUCGUGGGGCAGCAUGGUGUGUAGCAAUACACACUGAUGGCGACCGGCAAACGGGUGCGGAACACGUACGCAACUUACCCUUAAGUGGGGGAUAGCCCGGGGAAACCCGGAUUAAUACCUCGUAACACUGUGAAGUGGCAUCACUUUAUAGUUAUAGCUCCGGCGCUUAAGGAUGGGCGUGCGUCCCAUUAGGUAGUUGGUUGAGGUAACGGCUCACCAAGCCUGCGAUGGGUAACUGGUGUGAGAGCACGACCAGCCACACGGGCACUGAGACACGGGCCCGACUCCUACGGGAGGCAGCAGUAAGGAAUAUUGGUCAAUGGACGCAAGUCUGAACCAGCCAUGCCGCGUGGAGGAUGAAGGCCCUCUGGGUUGUAAACUUCUUUUAUGGGGGACGAAACCCCGGAUUUUUAUCCGGCCUGACGGUACCCCAGGAAAAAGCACCGGCUAACUCCGUGCCAGCAGCCGCGGUAAUACGGAGGGUGC